rnacentral:rRNA from 1 species
AGUGAACGCUGGCGGUAGGCCUAACACAUGCAAGUCGAACGGCAGCACAGUAAGAGCUUGCUCUUACGGGUGGCGAGUGGCGGACGGGUGAGGAAUACAUCGGAAUCUACUUUUUCGUGGGGGAUAACGUAGGGAAACUUACGCUAAUACCGCAUACGACCUACGGGUGAAAGCAGGGGAUCUUCGGACCUUGCGCGAUUGAAUGAGCCGAUGUCGGAUUAGCUAGUUGGCGGGGUAAAGGCCCACCAAGGCGACGAUCCGUAGCUGGUCUGAGAGGAUGAUCAGCCACACUGGAACUGAGACACGGUCCAGACUCCUACGGGAGGCAGCAGUGGGGAAUAUUGGACAAUGGGCGCAAGCCUGAUCCAGCCAUACCGCGUGGGUGAAGAAGGCCUUCGGGUUGGAAAGCCCUUUUGUUGGGAAAGAAAAGCAGCAGGUUAAUACCCCGCUGUUCUGACGGUACCCAAAGAAUAAGCACCGGCUAACUUCGUGC